UCUGUAGAGAGAGGCUGGCGGCCGUAUUCUUCUUUACCUCCCAAGACAACUUCUUUCUCGUCAUCACCAACCUAACCUCCACCCCCAAUCUUUCGUCAUGAGUAGAUGGCGAUGAAUGCCGAGACAGCGGAGGGGAUGCCGCCGUCACGCUCCUCGUUUUCUGAAAUGGUUCGUCGAAAGUUUCAGCCUUCGUCGCUGCUGUCCGCCGCGACAACUACCGGACCGGGUUUGGUGCGAUCCACUCCGCUGUCUUGACGUUCGUCACCAUCUACACGCAGCCGUUUUCACUCAAACCAAGCGAGCUCCUCCCAUCACAUCACGAAGAAAAACAAUGAGAAAUGAAGAGCUGAUAUGGCUGGAGGAAUUCUUAUUGAAGUAGCAUGUUUAACAUUGCCUAUUGUUAAACAUUGCCUAUUCUUAUGCCAUAUUUUUUCUGAUGAGAUUGAUGCUUGGUGAAUUACUGCUAUUAUUUGUGUUCUCUUGGCCUCAAACUGCCAGUCUUAUCGAUGAUAUUCUAUCUCUUGGUUUCUAUUUGUCAGUGUGUCCUGAUUUUGUUGUGGAUUCUUGUAAUUUGGGAAUAUUAAUUGAUAAUGAAGGACUAGUUUUCUCCUUCUCUCUUUCUUUACAACCUCUGUUAUAUUUUCUCAUUUCUACUGUAUUGUGUGUGUGUGUGUGUGUUGUAUUUGGUGUGCUGGUUUUGUCUUCAAUUGCAUCUUAUUUGGGCGCUGAUUGAAUUUUGCAGGUUUCUAUAUUAUCGAUGACAUUCUAUCUCUUGUUUUAUUCCCACCUAAAGGACAAGUUGAAUAAGAUGGAGGACUCAAGGUGAGUCUAAUCUAGAGGCACAGCGGACGACAGGAUCCUAAUCAUAGUGGAGCAGUCUAGUCAUGGAGGAAGAUUAGAAGCAGGCUAGUAGCAGUAUUUUUCAAAACCAUUUAGAUAGUUACCCUUUUUGUAUAAGAAAUUAUAUGUAUAAGAUCCGCCAUGCAGAGUGUAUGAACCUCUUAUGCAUUUUAUAAUGUAAAGCAUAUUUUUUGUGCUUCAGGUUUC